AGUUUUUAUUCCAUUUUGUUAGUUCUCAUAACUAUUCUGACAUGCAACACUGACAGCGUGAUCCCUGUUGAGUAGGAAGGAAAGAAUUGUACUUACAUCACCUUCAUCCUCAUGUCAUCCUUCUGCUUCCUCCACCACAAAAUUGUGAAGGAAAACAUACCAGUGCCUUGAAGGAGAUGAGUGAGCCAUUGAAGAUGCGCGUCUUGAGCCUGUCAUCAGGUAUUGAGGCUUCCACCAUGCACACCAGAGAAACCCAUUGGUUCCUGUUGACUGAAUCGCCCACAAAUACUAAUCUCUUGUUCCUCAGCUUUUCAAGCAGCUUGGUGGCAUCGAAUCUGUAUUGACAUGGCAAAUCCUGACAUCAGACAUCAUGUCUUCCUACCAUGCAGAGUGCAGUAGAUCUGAAAAGCGUGGAUGAUGAGCAGCAGGCCAGCAGCAUUCAGUGGAGCAGCAUCUGGUUGCAAGGUUGGAGAUGAGUACAAUGAUUGCUGGUUUGCAGUAGAUGGGGUGAGCGAGCCUUAGAAGGCUACUAACAGCAGAGCUGUUCACACAGAGAGAGAGAGACAGUAGCAGCAAGCAGCUAGCCUAGGUGUUGUACCAUGGGAUUCGUUCCUGCUAGUUGCUGGGCACAUGGUUCUUGGUUCUCUGAGGAGGAAUCUGAUCAGGCGCAUGCACAAGCCCAGGAAGAGAGCAUGAUGCACGCACUCGGUACGACCAUUAUAUGAUGCUGUCCAGUCCUGGAUAGGAUAGAGACGCUUGCAUGUAAAGAUUCACUAGUACAUACGUCUAAUUGAUUUAAAAAAAGUCUACGAUAAAGUAAAGUGAUCAUUUCUCCAACAAA